GACGAACGCUGGCGGCGUGCUUAACACAUGCAAGUCGAACGGGCCUUGUCCCCUUUUUUUUGGGGGUGGGGUUAGUGGCGAACGGGUGAGUAAUACGUGAGUAACCUGUCCCUCACUUCUGGAUAAACGCCUGAAAGGGUGGCUAAUACGGGGUGUUCUGGCCUGCUCGUAUGGGUGGGUUUGGUAAGAUUCGUCCGGUUUGGCUGUCUUGGUGGGGGAUGGGCUCGCGGCUUGUCAGCUUGUUGGUGGGGUGAUGGUCUGCCAAGGCGUUGACGGGUAGCCGGCCUGAGAGGGUUGGCGGUCACGCUGGGACUGAGGCACGGCCCAGACUCCUACGGGGGGCAGCAGUGGUGAAUAUUGCACAAUGGGCGCAAGCCUGAUGCAGCGACGCCGCGUGAGGGAUGGAGGCCUUCGGGUUGUGAACCUCUUUCGCCAGUGAAGAAGGUCCUGCUCUUUGUGGUGGGGUAGACAGUGGCUGGGGUAAAGAAGCGCCGGCUAACUACGUG
rnacentral:rRNA from 1 species